UACAGAGGUCCCAAGCGUUGUUCGGAUUUACUGGGCGUAAAGGGUGCGUAGGUGGUCGGGUAAGUCUCAUGUGAAAUCUCCAAGCUUAACUUGGAAAUGGCAUGGGAUACUAUUCGGCUAGAGGAUUGGAGGGGGGACGGGAAUUCCCGGUGUAGCAGUGAAAUGCGUAGAUAUCGGGAGGAACACCAGUGGCGAAGGCGAGUCCCUGGACAAUUACUGACGCUGAGGCACGAAAGCUAGGGGAGCAAACAGG
rnacentral:rRNA from 1 species